rnacentral:rRNA from 1 species
GACGAACCGAGCGAACGUUGUUCGGAAUCACUGGGCUUAAAGGGCGCGUAGGCGGGCUGUCAAGUCUGGGGUGAAAUCCCGCGGCUCAACCGUGGAACUGCCUCAGAUACUGACGGUCUCGAGGGGGAUAGGGGCGAGCGGAACUAAUGGUGGAGCGGUGAAAUGCGUUGAUAUCAUUAGGAACUCCGGUGGCGAAGGCGGCUCGCUGGAUCUCUUCUGACGCUGAGGCGCGAAAGCUAGGGGAGCAAACAGG